GGAAGGAAGAUGAUGGCCAGAAUAGAAGAAGAAUGGGAUGAGAACAUGGGAAGGGCCGGCACCUUGCCCCCGAAGCGAAGAACGAUAAGGCUAGCACUUGCAAUGGUAUAGCUGCCUUUUGAUACGUUGGUGAAGGUGUUGCAAGUGGAGGUCUGCGUGAACUAAUACCAUGUAUUUCAAGGACAUCAGUUGCAGUUGGUGUUCACGGAAUAUUAGUGGAGGUGCAUGACAAUCCCCUAAAAGCACCUGUUGAUGGCCCAACACAAUGGAGAGUCAGCAAGGGGAAAAAGCCAUUCCAGAUUGAUCUCACACACUAUGAAGAUUAACCUGAAGCAACCAGGAUAAUAACAGCACAAGUUGUGUUGCAGUUUAUCCAUGACUGCUAUGCAUUAGCCAUGUAUCUCUGGAGUCUUGAGUGUUUUUUUUAUCCUUUUUGCUCUCUUUUUCCUUUGGAGUUUGAUAGUAUGAUAGUAUAAAAGUACGCUGUCAGACCAUAUCAAUUUGCUGUCAAAUUUAUGUUUAAGGUACUUAAGCUGUUACUUCUGGCUCUCUUUUGCAGCAUAAUAUUUUUUUUCCUGUCCGUCUUCUGUUGCUCUUUCUUUUCAGAGUAGAUGGAAAAACCCAUCCUAAAAAGCUUCCUAUUCUAUACUUGCAUUGCAG